AGACAAUGCUUUGUAAAUUUUAUUAUAGAAUUGUGACCUAAAUUUUAUUUAACAUCCUAAAUUUUAAUAUUCAAUAUUUAAUAUCGAAUAUAUAUAGUAUAUAAGGUGUAUAUAUAGUAUAUAAGAUGUAUAUAUAGUAUAUAAGAUGUAUAUAUAGUAUAUCGAUAUAAGAUGUAUAGAUGUAUAUAUAUAUAUAUAUAUAUAUAUAUAAGCUAUAUUCGAUAAGCUAUAUAUACAUCUUAUAUACUAUAUAUAAGAUGUAUAUAUAGUAUAGUAUAUAUAUAUAUA
rnacentral:lncRNA from 1 species